rnacentral:rRNA from 1 species
CAGUCGCCGCGGUAAUACGUAGGUGGCAAGCGUUGUCCGGAAUUAUUGGGCGUAAAGGACUCGCAGGCGGUUUCUUAAGUCUGAUGUGAAAGCCCCCGGCUCAACCGGGGAGGGUCAUUGGAAACUGGGAAACUUGAGUGCAGAAGAGGAGAGUGGAAUUCCACGUGUAGCGGUGAAAUGCGUAGAGAUGUGGAGGAACACCAGUGGCGAAGGCGACUCUCUGGUCUGUAACUGACGCUGAGGAGCGAAAGCGUGGGGAGCGAACAGGAUUAGAUACCCCCGUAGUCCCUGUCUCUUAUAC